GUGAAUCUGUUCAGAACAAACCUAUGUCCCCAAGAGUUCGGUGGCUGCUUGGCAUGUGCUGGCUGUUCCCGAAGGCCAGGUGGUGUUGAACAGAACAAGUACACACUGGUUGAAAAGAUAGUCCGUAAAAUUCUAAUGUCAUAAAGCGUUCUACUCGACGACGAUCAUGAAGGAUUGAGAUGGAUCGGCAAGACUCGGAGGACGACAACGCAUUAGAUGGUAUCUUGGAUUAGCCUAGAUGUCAUCUUGAAUUAGAUGCUGUCUAUUGUCUAGGUUGAUGCGUAACUCAUGGACUCGCUCUCAAAAUCUGUUCUCUAAAUAUUGCAAACAUGUGAAACUGUUUUUAAUAUUUUGGUUCCGAAUAAAGAUAAGCGAGUGGAAAAUCGAAAA